UACGGCCACCUUUUUCUUGAAACACCAGUCCUUGUACGAUCACUGAAGUUAAGCAAAGUCGAGCAUUUUAGUACCUAGAUGGGUAACCGCAUGGGAAUACUAGUUGUUGUAA